rnacentral:rRNA from 1 species
CAGCAGCCGCGGGAAUACGUAGGGGGCAAGCGUUAUCCGGAAUUACUGGGUGUAAAGGGAGCGUAGACGGUUAAACAAGUCUGAAGUGAACUGCCGGGGCUCAACCCCGGAGCUGCUUUGGGAACUGUAGAACUGGAGUGUCGGAGGGGUAAGCGGAAUUCCCAGUGUAGCGGUGAAAUGCGUAGAUAUUGGGAGGAACACCGGCGGCAAAGGCGGCUUACUGGACGACAACUGACGUUGAGGCUCGAAGGCGUGGGUAGCAAACAGGAUUAGAUACCCCCUAGUCCCUGUCUCUUAUACA